rnacentral:lncRNA from 1 species
AUGANGCUCUCAGUUGAGUUAUUUGCUUGGGCAGAGACUCACAUUCUUUCUAUUUCUGCUGUUCACAUUCAGGGUUCCCUCAACAACUUUGCAGAUGGUUUGAGCAGGGUGCACCUUCCCCUCUCAGAAUGGCAGCUAGACCCAGCCAUUUUCCAGGACCUGACAGUUCGGUGGGGAGUUCCCCAGGUGGACCUCUUUGCCUCCCAGGACAACCACCAGAUGCCUCUGUUUUAUUCCAGACACAGGGAUCCACUUGCAACUGCAGCAGAUGCCCUUUCAGCUCCCUGGCCACCUCUACGCCUUCCCGCCCUUCCCCCUCCUGUUCCGCUUUCUNAGGCAGGUUCAGCGGGAGCAUGCCCAGGUCAUUCUGAUAGCUCCCUUUUGACCCAGGAGGCCUUGGUUCCCUCUCCUCUCGCCUAUGUUGAUAGAGUUGCCAGGUCGUCUUCCUCCUCACGAGACCCUUCUCCGGCAGAAGGGUCUGUUUCAUCAGGACCCAGGCUGGCUUUCCCUGAUAGCCUGGAGACUCAACGGAGGGGGUUCCAGGAUCUGGGACUUGACAAGUCUGUGAUCUCUACCCUUCUAGCCUCCAGGAGGGCUUCCACCAACAGGAUUUAUGGCUCUUCCUGGAAGGCUUUCCUUCAUUGGUGUAGGCCCCGUAAGAUCGAUGCCUCCCAUCCCACCUCAGAGCAGGUGGUGGGUUUCGUGCAAUCAGGUCUCACUAAGGGACUAGCAUACAACACCCUCAAAAAGCAGGUGUUUGCUAUUUCAGCGGUGUUAGAAUUUUACCCAGUGCCUAGAUUUACGUCGGAUAGGUUAGUCAAGCGGUUCUUGGCUGGGGCGAAAGCGCUGUCUCUUGCGGUGGUCCACCGCUACCCUACCUGGGANCUGCAUCUGGUGUUGUCAGCCCUAGUAGGCCCCCCUUUUGAACCCAUUAAUGAGAUAUCACUGAGGCUUCUUACUUAUAAGAUUGCUUUCCUGGUGGCCAUCACCUCUGCCAGGCGGGUGUCGGAUCUGGCCGCCCUCUCUAUAGAUCAGUCCCUUUGCUCUUUCACUCCGAACUCAGUUAUCCUCCGACUGGAUCCUGCUUUCCAGCCAAAGGUGGACUCAGUCUUUCAUAGGUCCCAGGAGAUCCACCUUCCUUCCCUGUGUCCUCGCCCCAAGCAUGCCUUGGNGAGACAGUAG